GUCUACAGCCAUAUCACCCUGGCCAUGCCCCAUCUUGUCUGAUCCUGGAAGCUAAGCCAGACUGGGCCUGGUUAGUACUUGGAUGGGAAAUGGCUGAGAUGGCCCCAAGAAAGACCCAGGAAGAUGUUCAAC
rnacentral:rRNA from 1 species